rnacentral:rRNA from 1 species
CAUGCAAGUCGAACGAUGAAGCCUUUCGGGGUGGAUUAGUGGCGAACGGGUGAGUAACACGUGGGCAAUCUGCCCUUCACUCUGGGACAAGCCCUGGAAACGGGGUCUAAUACCGGAUAACACUCUGUCCCGCAUGGGACGGGGUUAAAAGCUCCGGCGGUGAAGGAUGAGCCCGCGGCCUAUCAGCUUGUUGGUGGGGUAAUGGCCUACCAAGGCGACGACGGGUAGCCGGCCUGAGAGGGCGACCGGCCACACUGGGACUGAGACACGGCCCAGACUCCUACGGGAGGCAGCAGUGGGGAAUAUUGCACAAUGGGCGAAAGCCUGAUGCAGCGACGCCGCGUGAGGGAUGACGGCCUUCGGGUUGUAAACCUCUUUCAGCAGGGAAGAAGCGAGAGUGACGGUACCUGCAGAAGAAGCGCCGGCUAACUACGUGCCAGCAGCCGCGGUAAUACGUAGGGCGCAAGCGUUGUCCGGAAUUAUUGGGCGUAAAGAGCUCGUAGGCGGCUUGUCACGUCGGAUGUGAAAGCCCGGGGCUUAACCCCGGGUCUGCAUUCGAUACGGGCUAGCUAGAGUGUGGUAGGGGAGAUCGGAAUUCCUGGUGUAGCGGUGAAAUGCGCAGAUAUCAGGAGGAACACCGGUGGCGAAGGCGGAUCUCUGGGCCAUUACUGACGCUGAGGAGCGAAAGCGUGGGGAGCGAACAGGAUUAGAUACCCUGGUAGUCCACGCCGUAAACGUUGGGAACUAGGUGUUGG